CAUUCUCAUCACUCACCAUUUCUCUGUAAAUUUGUUCUGUGGCGAAAGAAUCAUUCUUAAUUUUUCUCUGGAUGUUUGAAAUUAGGUUACAGCAGCUCUCCUGGUUCCGUAGCUGGUUUCGCUACUUCAUUUCUCAGGGUUUUGCUGCGCACCGGAACGAGACCACUACGAAACUCUUGGGAGCGCAAGCAAAGAUGAGAUUAAAAAGGCUUUACGACGCUGGCCAAGAAAUACCAUCCUGAUGCAAAUAGGGACAAUCCUUCUUAUAAGAGAAAAUUUCAAGAGAUAAGAGAAGCUUAUGAGGUUUGAUUUGUGACUGGAGCAAAAAUUUACUAACCUCCUAUACGAGUUUUUCAGAGCUGUCUCUUUUAUGUGUUCCUAUCUCAUUAUUACCAAAAUCUGGAAUAGUUUGCAAGUUUUCCUAAAUUGGGCGUGUAAAAAUUCCGUUCUUCAUUUUCUUUUUCAUUGUUGAUUCCAGACAUUGCAAGAUCCUGAAAAGAGGGCAGAAUAUGACAUGGUAAUAACCCUCUCUAAGAAACACACAUCACAGUUUUGUUGUUAUUAGAUGUUGUAUGACACUAACUAAUUUGUGCGCAUCAGAGAUUCAUUUGAA